rnacentral:lncRNA from 1 species
UGUUCUUCUUUGUGUGUGUGUGUGUGUGUGUGUGUGUGUGUGUGUGUGUGUUUAGUAAGUGAUGAGGUAACCUCAUACUGAUCUGCUAUCUUCAUUAGAUCACUCUGUUGUUGCAGAGAAUGUUGCUGCACAGCAGGAAAUGCAAACUUCUAAAAAGUUUUCCUGUUGAGAAACCGGUCAAAUUUAAAGAUGGCGGAUCUGUAGGGGUGCCUGGGGGGAUUGAGGUAGCAGAUCUGUAGGGGUGCCUGGGGGGAUUGAGGUAGCAGAUCUGUAGGGGUGCCUGGGGGGAUUGAGGUAGCAGAUCUGUAGGGGUGCCUGGGGGAUUGAGGUAGAAAAUCUGUAGGGGUGCCUGGGGGGAUUGAGGUAGCAGAUCUGUAGGGGUGCCUGGGGGGAUUGAGGUAGCAGAUCUGUAGGGGUACCUGGGGGAUUGAGGUAGAAGAUCUGUAGAGGUGCCUGGGGGGAUUGAGGUAGCAGACCUGUAGGGGUGCCUGGGGGAUUGAGGUAGCAGAUCUGUAGGGGUGCCUGGGGGGAUUGAGGUAGCAGAUCUGUAGGGGUGCCUGGGGGAUUGAGGUAGAAGAUCUGUAGGGGUGCCUGGGGGAUUGAGGUGGCAGAUCUGUAGGGGUGCCUGGGGGGAUUGAGGUAGCAGAUCUGUAGGGGUGCCUGUGGUAUUGAGGUAGCAGAUCUGUAGGGGUACCUGGGGGAUUGAGGUAGCAGAUCUGUAGGGGUGCCUGGGGGGAUUGAGGUAGCAGAUCUGUAGGGGUGCCUGGGGGAUUGAGGUAGAAGAUCUGUAGGGGUGCCUGGGGGGAUUGAGGUAGCAGAUCUGUAGGGGUGCCUGGGGGGAUUGAGGUGGCCGUUUCUAUCUCCCACCAUUCACUAUGAAGACAUUUUGUAGAGCACUUGUUUCCCCGCAGACUAAAAGCUUUAAAUAAAAUGAUAAAUGGGAAUCGACUGGUUUUUAGCUGUGGUCAUAUUUGAGCCCUCAGUGUCUUUCUGAAAAACAGACUGUUCAGGGACGAUUCAAUAGUCAUGUACACUGAACUAAAAUAUAAAUCUCAAC